UACGAAGGGGGGCUAGCGUUGUUCGGAAUUACUGGGCGUAAAGCGCACGUAGGCGGAUUUGUAAGUCAGGGGUGAAAUCCCGGGGCUCAACCUCGGAACUGCCUUUGAUACUGCAAGUCUCGAGUCCGAUAGAGGUGAGUGGAAUUCCUAGUGUAGAGGUGAAAUUCGUAGAUAUUAGGAAGAACACCAGUGGCGAAGGCGGCUCACUGGAUCGGUACUGACGCUGAGGUGCGAAAGCGUGGGGAGCAAACAGG
rnacentral:rRNA from 1 species